UUUGCUAAGGUGCAGAGAAUCAGAGCAGGUGGUCAGUCCAGUUCAAGUGUUUAGCAAUCUGAUGGCUUGUAGAUCGAAACUGUCUCUGAGCUUGUUGGUAUCAGACCUCAUGCUCUGAUAUCGUCUGCCCGACGGUAUCUGGACCCACUGUUGUGCAAUUCCAGACUAACUCGUCAUUAGCAGCGGAUAAGAUCAACAAAUGUGGGAAUGACCCCAGAGCAUCCGUAAAUUGCUCUGGCCCUGGAGCUAGCAAGUGAAAGCUCCCCUGAGCCGUCCCGACUACGGUCUGGAGGCAAGGCAGGAAAGGUAACACUGGGAGCUCGUCCGGGAUUUAUCCUGCCUGAAUCGUAAGCUACCCACCUGUGUUCCUGUGGCUGAAGACAAGUUACACCAGCUCUGUCAGGAGGAAUGGGCCAAAAUUCACCCAACUUAUUGUGGGAAGCUUGUGGAAGGCUCCCCGAAACGUUUGACCCAAGUUAAACAAUUUAAAAGCAAUGCUACCAAAUACUAAUUGAGUGUAUGUAAACUUCUGACCCACUGGGAAUGUGAUGAAAGAAAUAAAAGCUGAAAGAAAUAAAUCUCUCUACAAUUAUUCUGACAUUUCACAUUCUGAAAAUAA